UUGGCAAAUAAGAACAAUAUUCAUUAUGGUAAACAAUAAUCUACAAAUAUAUUAUGCAACAGAGACUAUUUACAAAGGAGUGAAACCCAUGUAUGAGACCCUCAUAAACAUAAUCAAGUAGCACACUUUACAUGUACAUUCCCCUCCCCUACAUUCACAUGAAAAAUUCAAGUGCAUUAUGACAAUAAAAAAAAAUUAAAAAUCAAGAACCUCAAGAUUCCUAGGUUUUUUUUUUUUUUUGUUUCUUUG
rnacentral:lncRNA from 1 species